rnacentral:rRNA from 1 species
GGUGAACGCUAGCGGUGCGCCUAACACAUGCAAGUCGAGCGGUAGAAUUUUCUAGCUUGCUAGAAAAUUUGAGAGCGGCGAACGGGUGAGUAACACGUUGGAAUCUGCCCCCAAGUCAGGGAUAGCCAUUGGAAACGAUGAUUAAUACCGGAUGUGCUCUUCGGAGUAAAGAUUUAUCGCUUGGGGAGGAUCCUGCGUACUAUCAGCUUGUUGGUAAGGUAACGGCUUACCAAGGCUAUGACGGUUAACUGGUCUGAGAGGAUGAUCAGUCACAAUGAAACUGAGACACGGUUCAUACUCCUACGGGAGGCAGCAGUGAGGAAUCUUCCACAAUGGACGAAAGUCUGAUGGAGCGACACCGCGUGAAGGAUGACGGUCUAACGAUUGUAAACUUCUUUUCUGAGGGAGCAUAAUGAGAGUACCUCAGGAAUAAGGGACGGCUAAUUACGUGCCAGCCGCCGCCGUAACAC